CCCCGAGCCCCGGCCGCCCGGGAGCUGGGGGAGAGAGGGCCGGCAGCGCCGCGGCCGAGCUCCCCGCCUCCGCACCCCCGCUCUCCGACUGCCCGCCUCCUUCCCCGGCCACCCCCGCCCGAGGCGCCCACAACAAUAACACGCCGGGGACCGGACCCGUCAGCGCCCCCGAGCCGCCCGGGGCCCGCGGCCCGCCGCUGCCCGGCCCCCUCCGCCAGACCCAAGCCCGCCCCGCUCCCCCUCUCCAGCCUCAGGUGUGCCGGAUCCGGACGGGCCCCGGGGCUUAGCCCCAUUCCCCCAGUUGCAUCCUAGGCUACUACAGACCACCUGGAUAAUUCCAGCCACCCCCAGGAGACAUUUUGGUCCACUUUGGGAACCUCUGCUAGACUAAUCCCUUCACCUAAGGAUCAAUCUCAUCUUCCAAUGAUGUUAUGGGAAGGAGCUGAGAUGACUCAUCCCACUUCCUCACUGAAACAUCUAGCCAAUCAGAAGAAGACACACCUGUGUUGCUGGAAAUUUGGCUCUGUCAUCUUGUUAAUCACUAUAAAAGAUCCUACCAUCCCUAACUUGGGGUCUUUGCUCAUUGAGAGACCAUUUGCUCCAUUUAUUGGCAAUUGCUAGCCUUGCUAAUAAAGGAUGAUGCUUGGAA